CUUACGGGAGGCAGCAGUGGGGAAUAUUGGGCAAUGGAGGAAACUCUGACCCAGCGACGCCGCGUGCGGGAUGAAGGCCUUCGGGUUGUAAACCGCUUUCAGUAGGGAAGAAGCGAAAGUGACGGUACCUACAAAAGAAGCACCGGCUAACUAUGUGCCAGCAGCCGCGGUAAUACAUAGGGUGCAAGCGUUGUCCGGAAUUAUUGGGCGUAAAGAGCUCGUAGGUCGUUUGUUACGUCGGAUGUGAAAACCUGAGGCUCAACCUCAGGCCUGCAUUCGAUACGGGCAAACUAGAGUUUGGUAGGGGAGACUGGAAUUCCUGGUGUAGCGGUGGAAUGCGCAGAUAUCAGGAGGAACACCAAUGGCGAAGGCAGGUCUCUGGGCCAAUACUGACACUGAGGAGCGAAAGUCUGGGGAGCGAACAGGAUUAGAUACCCUGGUAGUCCAGACCGUAAACGGUGGGCACUAGUUGUGGGAACCUUCCACGGUUUCUGCGACGCNGCUACGCAUAGUGCCCGCCGUCGGGUAGGUACGAGCGCGAAGAAGUUAAACGUACGAAAGGAAAGUUAGUAACGGUCGUGUUAGACGUGCCGACGGACGACGACGAGGGAGGAGG
rnacentral:rRNA from 1 species